rnacentral:rRNA from 1 species
AGCGAACGCUGGCGGCAGGCCUAACACAUGCAAGUCGAGCGCCCGUAGCAAUACGGGAGCGGCAGACGGGAGAGUAACACGUGGGAACGUACCCUUCAGUUCGGAACAACCCAGGGAAACUUGGGCUAAUACCGAAUACGUCCGUAAGGAGAAAGAUUUAUCGCUGAAGGAUCGGCCCGCGUCUGAUUAGCUAGUUGGUGAGGUAAUGGCUCACCAAGGCGACGAUCAGUAGCNGGUCUGAGAGGAUGAUCAGCCUCAUUGGGACUGAGACACGGCCCAAACUCCUACGGGAGGCAGCAGUGGGAAUAUUGGACAAUGGCGCAAGCCUGAUCCAGCCAUGCCGCGUGGAUGAUGAAGGCCUUAGGGUU